rnacentral:rRNA from 1 species
UAGGGAAUCUUCGGCAAUGGACGGAAGUCUGACCGAGCAACGCCGCGUGAGUGAAGAAGGUUUUCGGAUCGUAAAGCUCUGUUGUAAGAGAAGAACGAGUGUGAGAGUGGAAAGUUCACACUGUGACGGUAUCUUACCAGAAAGGGACGGCUAACUACGUGCCAGCAGCCGCGGUAAUACGUAGGUCCCGAGCGUUGUCCGGAUUUAUUGGGCGUAAAGCGAGCGCAGGCGGUUAGAUAAGUCUGAAGUUAAAGGCUGUGGCUUAACCAUAGUAGGCUUUGGAAACUGUUUAACUUGAGUGCAAGAGGGGAGAGUGGAAUUCCAUGUGUAGCGGUGAAAUGCGUAGAUAUAUGGAGGAACACCGGUGGCGAAAGCGGCUCUCUGGCUUGUAACUGACGCUGAGGCUCGAAAGCGUGGGGAGCAAACAGGAUUAGAUACCCUGGUAGUCCACGCUGUAAACGAUGAAUGCUAGGUGUUAGACCCUUUCCGGGGUUUAGUGCCGUAGCUAACGCAUUAAGCACUCCGCCUGGGGAGUACGACCGCAAGGUUG